UACGUAGGGUGCAAGCGUUGUCCGGAAUUAUUGGGCGUAAAGAGCUCGUAGGCGGUCAGUCGCGUCUGCUGUGAAAACUCGGGGCUUAACUCCGGGCCUUCAGUCGAUACGAGCAAACUAGAGUGUUGCAGGGGAGACUGGAAUUCCUGGUGUAGCGGUGAAAUGCGCAGAUAUCGGGAAGAACACCUGUGGCGAAGGCGGCUCUCUGGGACGGUACUGACGCUGAGACGCGAAAGCGUGGGGAGCGAACAGG
rnacentral:rRNA from 1 species